AUGUUCCGUCGCUGUAUUACUGGGGUUUCCUAGCGGCAUGUGCUUACCCUCAUCACCCACGCAAUGCCCUUGGAAAUCCCAAACGUACUCGCGACCCUA
rnacentral:pre_miRNA from 1 species